GGGGGUGUAGCUCCGGGGUAGAGCACUUGCCUAGCACGCAAGAGGUCCUGAGUUCCAACCCCAGCAUCUCAA
rnacentral:tRNA from 1 species